rnacentral:lncRNA from 1 species
UCAGGAGAGGAGAGGAGAGUCCAAAGGCAAUGAGAAAGACUGGAGGGAGAGAGACCGGCUUCCUUCCUUGGCCAGAAAGCCUCUUAAGCAACUCUGAACUUGAGAGAUUCAUUCCUGGAGUUUGGGAGCUGAGCCCUAUGGUAGUAAGGGGUUGUGAGUUCUAUUCAUGUGAUCUAAGCAUAAUGGAAGGAGUUUUCCGCAGAGGGAGAUGUGUAUGCAUGAACUUACUCAUCAAUAAACAGAUGAAUAAUAUGUAAACAGCAUACAAUGACUUAUGAAACAAACAAACAAACAAAUCUCCUGAAUGCCUCCAAAUUCAUCAGUUCCGUAGAAUGAGGCAAUCUCACACACUAGGACUUGACUAGUCUGGCCCAAGGAGUACUUAGGAUAUACUGACGUUCCCAUGGAAAGUCAUGAUUUUCAUCCAGGAAGGGAUGUUAGUCUUUCUAUAGCCACAGCUAUCCCAUUAUGGGGCAGAUAAGAUCAUCAGUGGACUCAAUAGCUGGCUCUAGCAAGAAGAAAGCUGCCAGUUUGAGUGUCUUUUUCUCUCUGACACUGAGUUUGGAACCUUCUGCUGAAGCCGGGGCUUCCUCACUUCCUGUUGCCAUCUGACUCUAGGAC